rnacentral:rRNA from 1 species
UACGAAGGGGGCUAGCGUUGCUCGGAAUCACUGGGCGUAAAGGGUGCGUAGGCGGGUCUUUAAGUCAGGGGUGAAAUCCUGGAGCUCAACUCCAGAACUGCCUUUGAUACUGAAGAUCUUGAGUCCGGGAGAGGUGAGUGGAACUGCGAGUGUAGAGGUGAAAUUCGUAGAUAUCGCAAGAACACCAGUGGCGAAGGCGGCUCACUGGCC